GGGGCCGACUGGAUUUGACAGGAGGCGUAAAUACGUAUGUAAGCAUGCAGGCUCAUGGGGUGAGAGCCUUAAAAGAUAGUCCUAACACAUGAUUGGCGAAGAUUAUUCUUACGCUAUGGCUGCUUAGUCUGAUUUAAAUAUCGGACUAGCUUUAGGUAACCAAUAAGAUUGGUACCAGCCAUCAUCGCUCCCCGCCUUGGUACUGUGGGCAAGGAAUCAGCGGUGUCAGAUAACAGAUACUGGUUUCGGUAAGGCUGCGCAUCCGGAACGAGAUUUAAGCAACUAAGAUAGUGUUUGGUGGUGGUACACCUGGCACUAUUCGAAAAACCAAGUACCACUAAGCAUGAAGAAGAUCCGUAUAUUACCUUCACUGGACCGGGGUUCGAAUCCCCGCGGCUCCACUU
rnacentral:tmRNA from 1 species